UACUUGGAGUAGUGAAAUGAUGUUGG
rnacentral:piRNA from 1 species